rnacentral:lncRNA from 1 species
GCUCCAUGUAAGAUUUCUUCCUUUCUGCCCAUUCCCCCCUCCCCGACCCCCAACCCACAGCAAAUCCACUUAGCAAGUGACUUUCAAUAUCAGUCGAAUUGCUGGGAGGGAAUUUUUCCUUUAAUGGAAAAAAAAAUCCUCUUCACACAGGUGCAAUGGCCUGCCUCAAUGAAGAAAGGCUACCUGGAUGCCCACAACAGAACCCAGUUUUGUACAAUAACCCCCUGCUGCAAUGUGAGGCUCCAGCUAACUGCAAAACCCGAAACCUAGCUGGGAAAUUGCCUACCUGCACAAAGAACAGAGACCCUAUCGUUUCAGGAUUCAGUUCUUUCCGAGCACUUUUAUAAAGGAGUUUUUGUCUGCCUUGUGAGGCUCCGACCACAGAGGAGCUGGAAAUCCAGAUCCUAUCAGCUUUCCUUGAAGGAGGUGUUACAGGGUGUUCAUUUUCCUGCUGUUUGCUUUCAGCACCCUCAGGCUCAAGAUCACCCUGGUCCAUGUGAGAGGCAAGACAAGAGAAGAUCAGCGGCAAAACAGGGGAGGAGAAGAGAGCUGAGAAGAUGUGAAGGAAGAGACCUAAACAGCUUCCCAGAACUAUUCCAAGUUCUCAAGGUAAAUGAGAAAUCCUCUGUGGCAGUGAAUAAAUGCCUCCCCCUCUCAAUGUCCAUGUUCUGAUCCCUGGAACCUGC